UACGUAGGUGGCAAGCGUUGUCCGGAUUUACUGGGCGUAAAGGGCGUGCAGGCGGUUUGUUAAGUGCAGGGUGAAAGCUCCCGGACUCAACUGGGAGAGGUCCUUGCAUACUGGCGAACUCGAGGGAGGCAGAGGAAAGUGGAAUUCCCGGUGUAGUGGUGAUAUGCGUAGAUAUCGGGAGGAACACCUGUGGCGAAGGCGGGUCUCUGGGCCGAUACUGACGCUGAGGAGCGAAAGCGUGGGGAGCGAACAGG
rnacentral:rRNA from 1 species